GGCAGCACGGGAGCAAUCCUGGUGGCGAGUGGCGAACGGGUGAGUAAUACAUCGGAACGUGUCCUGUAGUGGGGGAUAGCCCGGCGAAAGCCGGAUUAAUACCGCAUACGCUCUACGGAGGAAAGGGGGGGAUCUUAGGACCUCUCGCUACAGGGGCGGCCGAUGGCAGAUUAGCUAGUUGGUGGGGUAAAGGCCUACCAAGGCGACGAUCUGUAGCUGGUCUGAGAGGACGACCAGCCACACUGGGACUGAGACACGGCCCAGACUCCUACGGGAGGCAGCAGUGGGGAAUUUUGGACAAUGGGCGCAAGCCUGAUCCAGCAAUGCCGCGUGUGUGAAGAAGGCCUUCGGGUUGUAAAGCACUUUUGUCCGGAAAGAAAACUUCUGCCCUAAUACGGCGGGAGGAUGACGGUACCGGAAGAAUAAGCACCGGCUAACUACGUGCCAGCAGCCGCGGUAAUACGUAGGGUGCAAGCGUUAAUCGGAAUUACUGGGCGUAAAGCGUGCGCAGGCGGUCCGCUAAGACAGAUGUGAAAUCCCCGGGCUUAACCUGGGAACUGCAUUUGUGACUGGCGGGCUAGAGUAUGGCAGAGGGGGGUAGAAUUCCACGUGUAGCAGUGAAAUGCGUAGAGAUGUGGAGGAAUACCGAUGGCGAAGGCAGCCCCCUGGGCCAAUACUGACGCUCAUGCACGAAAGCGUGGGGAGCAAACAGGAUUAAUACCCUGGUAGUCCACGCCCUAAAC
rnacentral:rRNA from 1 species